rnacentral:rRNA from 1 species
UACGUAGGGUGCGAGCGUUUGUCCGGAAUUAUUGGGCGUAAAGAGCUUGUAGGCGGUCUGUCGCGUCUGCUGUGAAAAUCCGGGGGCUCAACCCCCGGACUUGCAGUGGGUACGGGCAGACUAGAGUGUGGUAGGGGGAGACUGGAAUUCCUGGUGUAGCGGUGAAAUGCGCAGAUAUCAGGAGGAACACCGAUGGCGAAGGCGGGUCUCUGGGCCGUAA